AGUACGUGGACGUAGACCCGAAACCGGGUGAUCUACCCCUGUCCAGGGUGAAGGUGCGGUAACACGCACUGGAGGCCCGAACCCACGCAUGUUGAAAAAUGCGGGGAUGAGGUGGGGGUAGCGGAGAAAUUCCAAUCGAACUCGGAGAUAGCUGGUUCUCCCCGAAAUAGCUUUAGGGCUAGCCUCGGAAAACAGAGUCGUGGAGGUAGAGCACUGAUUGGGUGCGGGGCCCGCAAGGGUUACCAAGCUCAGUCAAACUCCGAAUGCCAUAGACUUACUUCCGGGAGUCAGACAGUGAGUGCUAAGAUCCAUUGUCAAAAGGGAAACAGCCCAGACCAUCAGCUAAGGUCCCCAAGUGUGUGUUAAGUGGGAAAGGAUGUGGAGUUGCACAGACAACCAGGAUGUUGGCUUAGAAGCAGCCACCAUUGAAAGAGUGCGUAAUAGCUCACUGGUCGAGUGACUCUGCGCCGAAAAUGUAACGGGGCUAAACACACCACCGAAGCUAUGGCUUGAUGCUUUGCAUCAGGGGUAGGGGAGCGUUGUAUAAGGGUUGAAGGUGUACCGUAAGGAGCGCUGGACAUUAUACAAGUGAGAAUGCCGGUAUGAGUAACGAAAAGAUCAGUGAGAAUCUGAUCCGCCGAAAGCCUAAGGGUUCCUGAGGAAGGCUCGUCCGCUCAGGGUAAGUCGGGACCUAAGGCGAGGCCGAAAGGCGUAGUCGAAGGACAACAGGUCGAAAUUCCUGUACCACCGUAAGCCGUUAUGAGCAAUGGGGGGACGCAGCAGGGUAGUGACGCGGACUGAUGGAUGUCCGUCUAAGCAGUGAGGCUGAUGUGUAGGCAAAUCCGCACAUCGUAAGGCUGG
rnacentral:rRNA from 2 species